ensembl:lncRNA
GUGGUUCUAAUCAAAACAACGCAUUUUCAAAACUCUUUACAAAUGCCGUUGGGUUAAACAGUGCGAUAUGUUUUUAUCUAAUGUAAAGGUUAUUCCUGCUCCGGUAAAUGUCUGUGUAUCUUUUAUAGUUCGCUUCAUACCGAUUGUUUAAACUGUAACGGUUUAAAUAUAAUUUGUUAACAUUAGUUGGUAGCUGCUACAGGUCGGAAUUGCUUUAUUAUUAAGUUUUGUUUUUCUUAACAGAAUAUUAUUAACGCUCAUAACAGUUACGUUGAUACUUUUACGCCUGUUGAGGCUAAAAGGCUAAACUGCAGCUUGAUGAUUAAUAUUUGUCCACCAUGAAAGGACAUUUGUUGUCCAGUGAACGUGUAAAUUACACACUGCUACAGACAGGAGACCUGUCCAUGAGAUGAGUGACAGGAGCGGAUCAUGUGCAAGGCCACAGUUCUAGCUGUGAUGAAGAUGGAGGGAAAGUUUAAGUCAAAAGGAUUUGGGACAGUUUGAUGUCUACAAAUGUUUUCAUCCUUUUUUUAUUUUUAUUUUUUUUACAUUUUAUUUAUUUAUUUAUUUAAAGGUUUUCUGUUGGACCCCUGGCACAGCACUCCUGUGAAAAAGGUACGCGGGUCUUCUGAAGGUUCAGUAAAGGAAAAAUAGUAGGCUUAUUUGAGGAAUAAAACAUUUUGUGGUGUGAUGUUAUAGGAGAGUAAUCAACAACAACUUUUGAUUGUGUGAAGUGCCGUGGAUUACUUUCCAAUAACAGCACAUGCCGGGUUAUUGUGUUAUUGUUCUUAUGCCGCAGCGAUUUGCCAACGAUUCCAGUUUUUAUCAAAAUUGUUAUACACUACCGGUCAACAGUUUAGACACAGUCAUUCUUUAUUAUUAUUAUUUCUCCACAUUUUAGAAUAAUAAUAAAGUCAUCAAAACUCUGGAGUAACACAAAUGGAACUAUGCGAAUUAUAAAAAAAUCCCAAAUAAAUCAAAAUAAUUUAGUAUUUUAGAAUCUUCAAAGUAAACACGCUUUUUACCUAGAAUUUCCAGAAAUGUAUUCUUGGCAUUUUCUCAACUUAUUUGUUGAGGAAUUUCGCUGAGAUGCUUUUCAAACAGUAUUAAAGGCGUUCACACCUACGCUGGACAUUUAUCGGCUGCUUUCUGGAAUAUUUUGCUCCGAGUUAUCUGUUUAAAAAAAAAAAAUUUUGCUUGUAAAUAAAAUGCUAGCUUUCAAAUGAAAGAAAUGAGUAUGUUGGCACAAUUAUAUUUUGUUGACAGCACUGAUUUCAGAUAUUUAAUCCCCCACCUUCAGAUCGAAAGGUUUUUAAGACCACAAGAAACAUUUCAUUAAAGUGUCUCCAUAAUUUUUGACUGGUAGUGUACUGUCAUAAUUUUUUAUAUUAUAUGGUUACAUUUAAUGUUGUUGAAAGACUCUGAAACAUCGUUUUCUCAGUAAAAUUUACUUGUGUGUUAAAUUUGCCAAAUGUUUCAUGUACCUGCUGAUAUGAUGGAAUGAGUCAGUGGGGCAUGCCACUUAAUAAUAACCCGCCGCAAAAAUACAGCACCUCUUGCGCUUCUUAAUAAGUACUCUGUUUACUUAUUUAUUGCUCGAACCGGACUCUUUCCAUUAGCAAACAUUUUUACCAUGAUUAUCUGUCUCCAUAUAUAUACCUGUCGGUAUAUAUCUUAGUUUUGAAGCUGUGAUCUAAGAAACUCCAAUAUCUCUGCCGUCGCAGAGGUGAAGUUCCUGGAACGUCUUAUAAGUAAUCGCUCCAUGUAAUACUAAUUCUAAAUCAUUGACUCCCUUCCAUAGAAACAGCAAUACACAAUGACUUCAUAAAUUCUAAUUCUAAAUUCUUGAUGAUUCCUACCAGUCAUCGGUCUUUCGCUCUGCACAACAAAGGGCAAACACAGCCUGCGUGUUAACACAGGCUUCAGGGUGAAACUUUUUCACGAGCGUCCUCCGGUUUGCUUGUUGUCCAGAAAAGCUGAAAAGACGCCAAAUUGUCAUGGAAAUUAGACAACACUCGCAGACUCGUCCUCUGAAGGUAAAAAGGUUUAUUACAGAAAGAUGGUUAAUACAGGAUAGAAUAAUGAGAGUUUUCUAAAGCGCUUGUGCUGAACCACUACUAUAUAAUAAAAUAUGAAACGCAGAGCAUGACACACUUCUGUUUACCGAUAAGAAGUGGUUUGAGGCAGUUCAAACAGGCUUUGUCUUAGAGUCUUAGAAGAUGUGCAGAUGAACCUUGUU